rnacentral:ncRNA from 2 species
UAAAACAUAACGCGUCCGGGUGCCCCUUGGGAUAAAAGGGAAGAGGGUGGAAAGCCCUCGCGGCCCCGCCACUGUGAUCGGUGACGAUCUCUCGAACAUGCCACUGUCCCGCCCGGGAUGGGAAGGCCGAGAGAUUAUGCCGUCAGCCAGGAAACCUGCCGGGACGCGCUUCACGUA